rnacentral:rRNA from 1 species
UACGUAGGGUGCAAGCGUUAAUCGGAAUUACUGGGCGUAAAGCGUGCGCAGGCGGUGAUGUAAGACAGUUGUGAAAUCCCCGGGCUCAACCUGGGAACUGCAUCUGUGACUGCAUCGCUGGAGUGCGGCAGAGGGGGAUGGAAUUCCGCGUGUAGCAGUGAAAUGCGUAGAUAUGCGGAGGAACACCGAUGGCGGAAGGCAAUCCCCUGGGCCUGCACUGACGCUCAUGCACGAAAGCGUGGGGAGCAAACAGG